UACGUAGGGGGCAAGCGUUGUCCGGAUUUAUUGGGCGUAAAGAGCGUGUAGGCGGCCAUACAGGUCCGUUGUGAAAACUCGAGGCUCAACCUCGAGACGUCGAUGGAAACCGUAUGGCUAGAGUCCGGAAGAGGAGAGUGGAAUUCCUGGUGUAGCGGUGAAAUGCGCAGAUAUCAGGAAGAACACCCGUGGCGAAAGCGGCUCUCUGGAACGGUACUGACGCUGAGACGCGAAAGCGUGGGGAGCGAACAGG
rnacentral:rRNA from 1 species